rnacentral:rRNA from 1 species
AACGAACGCUGGCGGCGUGCCUAACACAUGCAAGUCGUGCGAGAAAGUUCCUUCGGGAGCGAGUAAAGCGGCGCACGGGUGAGUAACACGUAGGUAACCUGCCCCCCAGUCUGGAACAACUAGAGGAAACUCUAGCUAAUGCCGGAUGAGACCACGAUCCCUUCGGGGGUUGCGGCCAAAGAUGGCCUCUACUUGUAAGCUAUCGCUGAGGGAUGGGCCUGCGGGCCAUUAGCUUGUUGGUGAGGUAACGGCUCACCAAGGCUGUGAUGGCUAGCUGGUCUGAGAGGAUGACCAGCCACACUGGGACAGAGACACGGCCCAGACUCCUACGGGAGGCAGCAGUGGGGAAUAUUGCGCAAUGGGCGAAAGCCUGACGCAGCGACGCCGCGUGGGGUGAUGAAGGCC